CUGGGAGAAUUUAAUGGUGCAUCUCUCCACGCCCUUCUGACCAGAAGGCUCUUCCGUGCAGGCACAGAGCAGUGGGGUACUUAAUCCACCCAGGUGUCCGUUAAGUGUUUGUCGAAUGAAUGAGCAGAUGUGUGUUUCCUAACCAAGCCUACGGUUUAUGAAUAGGUAGAUGUACCUGCGGAAUAGACCAAUGGAGCUGGAGUCACCUGCCACCAAUUUGGGACAUCGUGCUAUGAAGCAUUCGAAAACGAACGAGGAAGCAGUACAAGCGUGAUAGACACCUUGCACUGGUCCUGUCAGCUUUGUGUUUCGCUGGAGAGCAACAGGCAGAUUCAAGGACGCGCCCACCUCUGGUGAAAAGGCAGGGAAGCCUUGCUUUCUGAGGCCUCCAGGCUGUCAUUCUUCAGGCACACCCUCUUCUAACAAAGCACUGGGAGGGCUCAGAAGAAAAAGGUUUACUGGAGUCAUCAGGAGGCUGCCGCAGAAAUCAGGAGAUGGCGAGCUAGAGAGUUUUAUUUUAUCGUCCCUGCACUUGAGCCUCAAGCUUUUCCAAGCAUGGCUCCUCCAGUCUCCUCCAGGAAUUCACUGAGACUUAACCACCGUCUAUGCUAGAACAUGCUCCUUGCAGCUAUCCAAACAUCUCCUGAGCUGUUUACUCUGCUCAGUGCCAGCCUUUCCGCAGACUGACGUUCCUGCAAGAGCGGGGCUCCCUCCUUUGCCUGGGAAAUCUGCAAUGCAUUGUCUGGCACAUCUCAUCCUCUGAUAGAUUCUCAUAGGAUGGGGUUUAAACCUUUAUCACCCCCUAUUAAUUAUACACUUGAGAUUUCUAUAGCUGGCAAAAAAAAAAAAAGUCACUAAUAUGCUGUAAUCAGGCAGAGGGAGGCAGUGGCAUAUAAAUUGUUAAUUUAUGUAAAGCUACGUAUAGGGAAGAAAUUAUCCAGCAUGUGUGCACAAAGGUGAAAAUAUUAGCUUGUGUCAGUGCGUGCCAGUUGUGAAGCUUGACGCUGCCGCCAAACCUCCUGGGGGUGGGUGGUGACGUGGUGACCAUGAGAUCAGUCCUCUGAGGCUUGUCAGAGAUGGCAGACUCCAGGCUGGGAGCUUCUUAGGUGUAUUUUACACUGUAAUAGGUGAUUCU
rnacentral:lncRNA from 1 species